GGACCAAUCGGAGGGGAGCGGGGAGAGAAGAGGGGGCGGCGCGGCCAAUCAGGGAGCGAUUCCUCGACACCGGAAGACGUCACGGAGGAGCAGCCCCGCCCUCGGGCCGGCGCGCGGUUGCUCCGGCGCGCUUCUUCCUCCACCCUCCCUCGCGCCAUGGGAGCGCUGCAUGCCGGGAGUGGCCUCCCGGAAGCGGAAAGGGAAAUGACCGGAAGUGAGGUCAGGGCCCUGAGAGGCGGUGGGUUUCGACUCGAGGUUGCGCUGUGAGAGAGUGGAAGUCGGCGUCCGGGCGCGUGGCCUUUAGCAGAAAGCCGGCAUGAGGAACUGGAAGCCGGGGCCGCAUAAACGGGUUCCUUGGUCUGUUCCUUUCUCACAUCAUCUGCUGAGGAUCAGCAGCGCCUACAAACACCACUUUCCAGCCUGAUCUAUCAAACCCCAACAUGUGAAGCUGUAUCAGCUCAGGUUGCUGAAGUUUCGUGCAUGUGCCUGCAGACCUAUGGAUUUUCAGUUCUGAACCUUUGAUAUCAAAGUUACAUCAACCCUCUGAGUGUUUCAGUAUCCCUGGCUAUCUCCAUUCAGAUACAUACUUUUAUGUAUAAACUUCUUGGUAACUGCAACCACAAAACAAACGUAUACAAGUAAUUAUGAACCAAAACUUCUUAAAUGUCAUUUUUUACUUACUUUACUGCCAGUGAGUUGACUGAGAUGUGGUUUUAGUUCAUCACCAAUUACUGCAUGAAUGGCUACAAGGCAGAAAACACAUGCCUUACGAACACUGCUCUCCGAAUUAUCAUAACCCUAGAAAGCAAUAAAAUUAACAUUAAUUGCUUAUCAGUUAAUGAUUAAAAGCCUCAGAAAACUAUUCAGUACUACUUAUAAUAAAUACAUUAAAAUCUACUUUAAGUGAAUGCUAAGCAUUCCAAGAAAAAAAAACAACACAAAAACAA